ensembl:snoRNA SNORD82 Small nucleolar RNA SNORD82
UACACAUGUGAUGAAUAAGAAGGGACUUAAUACUGAACUUUUUUGAUGUGAAUAAUUAAAAAUUCUGAUGUGU